rnacentral:lncRNA from 1 species
CUAUUCCUCACUGAGGCUCGCUCGUUCUUCUCCCUCGCUCGGUCUUCUCACCAAGGAGUCCGCCUUCUUCUUCUCCGGCCGUCUCAGCCGCCGGUGAGGCUGCCUCCGGCCUAGGACGCCAUUGCUUUCUCAGUUUUCUCUCUCAGUUUCUCAAUUUGUGAAACAUCAAGAGAGCCCUAAUUUUCUCCUCUGAAAUCGAAAUCGCCACUGCCCUAAUUCUCUCCCUCGCGCUCCUUCUUCCUCUCUCUGUAAUUCUGGAGUCGCGCUGCCGCCUGGUCUCUGUAAUUCCGGCAAGAGAGCGAGCCCUUGCCUCUCUGUAAGAUCCCGUCUGAAUCCGGCGCCGUUUGUGGGAUCUGGUUUGCAAUUUGGGAUUUCUUGAACAUUUUUGUGCUUUGCGAUUUUUGUGGUUUGCGAUUUGAGAUCUGGUUUGCGGUUUGUAAUAUCCCCGUCUGAAUCCCUCGUCUGAAUCCAACACCGGCGUCGCAGUCACCGUCGCCGACACCGUCCGCGAUUUGGGUCCGCGAUUUGGGGGUUGGUUCGACAGGAGAGAGAGAGCUCGACGUAGGUGAAGUCAGAUGUGGGUGUCUGGUUCGCGAUGAUAGGACGGUGAGGGGCGAUCGCCGUCGCCGGCGCCGUCGUCGUCGUCGCCGGCGUCCAGGUGCAGUGAGAAGGAGAAGAAGUCAGAUGGUGGAAAGUAAUUACUCUCAUUAAACUUGGUGGACCACACUCAAUUAACUCAUAACACUAAGUUUCUUAAUCUCCGUGCCCAAAUAAAAGUGGCCACUUUUAUUGGGACGGAGGGAGUAACUAAUAUCAUUAUAUCAACUCAAUUUUGGGCUAAAAUCAGUGAGCCCAAAUAUCAGCCCAGUAACCUUACUCAAACCUUAAUUUGUAAUAAAUAUAUCCACUUCACCCACUCAAACCCUAAUUUGUACACUAUAAAUAUAUCCACUUCACCCACUCAGCUAAAAAAAUUGCAGCCUCACCUCUUCUCUCUCUCACAAAAUUUCGCAGCCUCACCUCUUCUCUCUCUCUAUAUACUCGCAGCCUCUCUCCAUUCUAUAUGCUUCUAGUUUUGAAAAUAUACAUAUAGGUAUAAGAUUUACAUAGAAGCUAUAGAUGUUGUUGCGAUUCAUUUUAUUUGUUUUUGUUUGGUUUUUGUAUAGAUUUUGCUGCAAUUUAUUUUAUUUUUUUGGUUUAAUUUUUGUGAUUAUUUUGGUAGAUCUAUUAAUAUCUACACAAAGUAUUGCUUAAAACAAAAGUUCUUUAUUUUUUCUUUGAUUAUUUUUUCGAUUACUUGAGUUUAUUCCUUUAAUUUGAUAGAUCU